rnacentral:rRNA from 1 species
GCCUAACACAUGCAAGUCGAGCGGAAACGAGUUGUCUGAACCUUCGGGGAACGAUAACGGCGUCGAGCGGCGGACGGGUGAGUAAUGCCUAGGAAAUUGCCCUGAUGUGGGGGAUAACCAUUGGAAACGAUGGCUAAUACCGCAUGAUGCCUACGGGCCAAAGAGGGGGACCUUCGGGCCUCUCGCGUCAGGAUAUGCCUAGGUGGGAUUAGCUAGUUGGUGGGGUAAGGGCUCACCAAGGCGACGAUCCCUAGCUGGUCUGAGAGGAUGAUCAGCCACACUGGAACUGAGACACGGUCCAGACUCCUACGGGAGGCAGCAGUGGGGAAUAUUGCACAAUGGGCGCAAGCCUGAUGCAGCCAUGCCGCGUGUGUGAAGAAGGCCUUCGGGUUGUAAAGCACUUUCAGUCGUGAGGAAGGCGGCGUCGUUAAUAGCGGCGUUGUUUGACGUUAGCGACAGAAGAAGCACCGGCUAACUCCGUGCCAGCAGCCGCGGUAAUACGGAGGGUGCGAGCGUUAAUCGGAAUUACUGGGCGUAAAGCGCAUGCAGGUGGUUUUGUUAAGUCAGAUGUGAAAGCCCGGGGCUCAACCUCGGAAUAGCAUUUGAAACUGGCAGACUAGAGUACCGUAGAGGGGGGUAGAAUUUCAGGUGUACCGGUGAAAUGCGU